CCCGCACAAGCGGUGGAGCAUGUGGUUUAAUUCGAUGCAACGCGAAGAACCUUACCUGGGCUUGACAUCCCGGGAAUCCCUUGGAAACAAGGGAGUGCCCUUCGGGGAACCUGGAGACAGGUGCUGCAUGGCUGUCGUCAGCUCGUGUCGUGAGAUGUAGGGUUAAGUCCCGCAACGAGCGCAACCCUUGUCUUUAAUUGCCAUCAUUGAGUUGGGCACUUUAAAGAGACUGCCGGUGUUAAACCGGAGGAAGGUGGGGAUGACGUCAAAUCAUCAUGCCCCUUAUGACCUGGGCUACACACGUGCUACAAUGGUUGGUACAACGAGUUGCGAGUCGGUGACGGCGAGCUAAUCUCUUAAAGCCAAUCUCAGUUCGGAUUGUAGGCUGCAACUCGCCUACAUGAAGUCGGAAUCGCUAGUAAUCGCGGAUCAGCACGCCGCGGUGAAUACGUUCCCGGGCCUU
rnacentral:rRNA from 1 species